rnacentral:lncRNA from 1 species
UAUCACGGUUGUAGAGGUAAUGAUUUGUUUGAGCAGAGGUUGAGCAGAGAUUCUUUGCGUCGAAAGUCUUCUUAGUAAGUUGUGCUAAGCGGCAGGUUCUGUUGGCAACAACAACGGUUCAGAGUAAUGUUUAAGGCAAGGUGUUCAUUCAGAUUGUUACAAAGGAAAUUCUCAGAAAGUUGGUGUCUAUAGGCUGUUGAGGUUGGUUAGGAUUGAGUCAAAGAGCUUCUAGUUUGAGGCAGUGGUGAUUCAGGUUCCGCAGGAGCUUCAAGUUAGCAUUGACAUGAGCUGGAAAUUAUGGAGAAGAAUGAGUAGAUUUGUAGUCACGAUCUCAUGACUAUUUUCAAGUAUGACGAGCCAAGGAUGAUGCUGAAAGAUAGGCAUUAUCAGGGAAGAAGCAGUUGGCGUUAGUUUGUGGUAGACAAUGACAAUGUCAGAGACAGAGAAAGAAACGUUCACAGAGGACUAUCUCAAUGCACGUGAUGGUUUCAGGUUUGGAAAAUCAUGAUGAGAGACUUGAAAGGGAUGCAGCGGUAUUUGCAAGAAAAGGAAGACCCGUAAGCUGCAGUAAGAACAGCUACACAGGUGGGCUGUUCGUGAUAUGCAGUUGGAGAUUGAUUUGA